AUUAUUGGGCGUAAGAGCUCGUAGGCGGUUUGUCGCGUCUGUCGUGAAAGUCCGGGGCUUAACCCCGGAUCUGCGGUGGGUACGGGCAGACUAGAGUGCAGUAGGGGAGACUGGAAUUCCUGGUGUAGCGGUGGAAUGCGCAGAUAUCAGGAGGAACACCGAUGGCGAAGGCAGGUCUCUGGGCUGUAACUGACGCUGAGGAGCGAAAGCAUGGGGAGCGAACAGGAUUAGAUACCCUGGUAGUCCAUGCCGUAAACGUUGGGCACUAGGUGUGGGGACCAUUCCACGGUUUCCGCGCCGUAGCUAACGCAUUAAGUGCCCCGCCUGGGGAGUACGGCCGCAAGGCUAAAACUCAAAGGAAUUGACGGGGGCCCGCACAAGCGGCGGAGCAUGCGGAUUAAUUCGAUGCAACGCGAAGAACCUUACCAAGGCUUGACAUGUUCUCGAUCGCCGUGGAGAUACGGUUUCCCCUUUGGGGCGGGUUCACAGGUGGUGCAUGGUUGUCGUCAGCUCGUGUCGUGAGAUGUUGGGUUAAGUCCCGCAACGAGCGCAACCCUCGUUCCAUGUUGCCAGCACGUAAUGGUGGGGACUCAUGGGAGACUGCCGGGGUCAACUCGGAGGAAGGUGAGGACGACGUCAAAUCAUCAUGCCCCUUAUGUCUUGGGCUUCACGCAUGCUACAAUGGCCGGUACAAUGGGUUGCGAUACUGUGAGGUGGAGCUAAUCCCAAAAAGCCGGUCUCAGUUCGGAUUGGGGUCUGCAACUCGACCCCAUGAAGUCGGAGUCGCUAGUAAUCGCAG
rnacentral:rRNA from 1 species